GGUGGCUCAGUGGUAGAGCAGUUGCCUUACAUGCAUGAGGCCCUGGGUUAGAUUCCCCAGCACCA
rnacentral:tRNA from 1 species